CGGGUGUAUUUCGCGCCAGAGUGAACACGUGCCGUUGGGUCUCAGAAGAUGGAAACACUCACGAAAAACAAAACAAAAAUGACUGUUUUGUACAAGAAACAUCAUAAAGUGAGGCUAAAUUGUGACCCCACAGAUGAAGUUCUUUGAAAUGCAGUCAUAAAAGACUUCACACAGUGAACAAGGAAACACUCUGUACAUUUGGCACAAACUGCAGGAAACGUGGACGGGGGACAUAAAAAUGUGCCGAUCUAAGAGCAUGAUUUCAACACAGGGGUUUGUGAAGCUGGUUGAUCCAGUUUUGACUGGCAGGAGGUCUUGGCUGUCACUUAUCAGUGCUCAGAACAAAAGAUUUUGGAUAUGGUUUUGUUCAGCAUCACUCAGAAUUUCAUCUCAACAAUUUCUCAUACUGCUCUCAUAUUUGGCAAGAAGAAUCUGUGAACUCACUUCAUUCAACUCAUCUCCGUCUACUAUACUUAGCUAUCACGAACGAUGACAACCAUAACACUUAAAGUUGUCAGCUGGCUCUUCUUCAAAUGAUCUUUAAACAGCUGCCUUCCUGUCAAUUCCGUGGAACUUCUGUAGGUCAGAGGCAUCAUAUAAAACU